GAUGAACGCUAGCGGGAGGCUUAAUACAUGCAAGUCGAGCGGUAAGGUUUUCGGACCCUAGAGCGGCGAACGGGUGAGUAACGCGUACGAAACCUGCCUUUAAGAGAGGGAUAGCCCUGGGAAACUGGGAGUAAUACCUCAUAGUAUUCAUUAACCGCAUGGUUUAUGGAUUAAAGCUACGGCGCUUAAAGAUGGUCGUGCGUCUGAUUAGCUAGUUGGUAGGUAACGGCCUACCAAGGCUACGAUCAGUAGGGGGCGUGAGAGCGUGGCCCCCCACACGGGUACUGAGACACGGACCCGACUCCUACGGGAGGCAGCAGUAAGGAAUAUUGGGCAAUGGACGGAAGUCUGACCCAGCCAUCCCGCGUGCA
rnacentral:rRNA from 1 species